AAAAUAUUGCAAUAGUAACAAAGAAAUAUGUUAAGAAAUGUGAAAACAAUUUUAAAAAACAAUGCAGUAAAAAAGUGAACAGUGACAUAUUUUUCUUUCUUAGAAAGGAAUUUUUUGGGAACAGAAGGAAGGAUGUGAAGGAUGACCACUUCAAGAAACAGGACAAGCUGCGAACUGUUAACACGGAUAUGUAUACCCAGGCAGGAAGCACCUGUGCAAUAAGGCUUACAAAAAAUAUAUGAAGGAAACAACACGAUAUGCAAACUAAAAUUUAUUGGGGCCAAAGUAUAAGCAACAGAGAAAAACUCAAGUCUACAGAAUGCUAAUUUUGCAUUAAGCUAAAUAUGAUUAAAACAAACAUUGGAAGCCAUAUAGUUGCAUAAAACAAAUUGCAUAGAAGUACCAAAGAUAUAAUGAAAAAUUCAAAUGCAAAAGGAAUAUUCUAUAUCCACAUACAUUCCACACUUCUUUUUAUCAUAAAUCCUUGUGUGCAGAUAGCUGCAGGGAAAAAUGUUAAGAAUCCGUAACACCUAAACAGGAUUGGUAAGACACGAAAAACAAAGAAGAACAAACGCACAAAAAUGAUAAAUCACAUGCACACAAAAAGAAAACAAAGUUUACAUAGUUCCCCCAAAAACUAGGGCUAAAUCCGCAACUGCUGCAGUUUUCACACUGAUAAGAAAGGUAGUGCGCGCGCACACACGCACACGCACACACAAUAUAUAUAUAUAUAUAGAGAGAGAGAGAGAGAGAGUAGAAAUCUUCAUUUUGAUCAAACAGGAUCUGAAUUUGCUGACCUCACAAGCUCAAGAACAAACAAAAACUACAUUACUUUUACAGCUACAAUUUAUAGGAAUGAGAAGGUAGUACACGUGGAAAGCAAAAGGACAGAUUUGGUGUCUUUAAAAUAAAAAUUCUGAUGUUUAACCUCAUAUGGGCGUAAAUGCAAAUCUAUUGCCCUCCCUCCAUUCUUCUCUCUAAUUUGAAAUUUUUUCCUUUCAUCGAUCUAUAUCUUGAAAUAAAUUUUGAUGUUUCUUUUCAAGAGUUGAUGGCAAAAAAUUAAAAGAGAAAUUAUUCAGUAAAUCACAGAAGACAUCAUCAACCUAAGUUCAAUUGUUUUGUAGAAAAAACCCUACACAAAAUCCUACAACAUACAGCAGUUCUUGCUCCAAUCAGCUCCAGAUGGUACGCUAUGUGACGUUUAUGCGUGCAAGGAAACACCAAAACACUAUCAAAUAUACAAAGGAAAUCGGACAUUUAAAAA